GAACUCUGAAGAGAGAGUUAAAUAGUACGUGAAACCGGCAUGGUCGAAACGAAUAGAGUCGACGUAUCUAGUUGGUAUUUAUCAUUUCGCUGGUAGGCGGCGAUUGUGUAUGAGAUUCAGUUCGUCUGGGUUUUAUGCAUGGUUGUUUGUUUAACAGUGGGUGUGCACUUACUGACUACUGUGCGCUGGGGCGCGGGUGUUGGUUGUUCCAGGCUUGAAGAAGAGGAUGCGCACUUCGGUGUGUAAAACCGGCUUCUUGUUUUGGGGCGGUUCGGCGUCCGUGUUGUUAGCUUGGUCGGGAUGUGCGUUGCGGUUGGUCGAGUUUGUGGCAUAUGGCGGUCGCUUGCGACACGUGUAUGUUGCGGAUUCGCCGGUUGUAGCGUUCGCUUGGCUGCCCGGUGUAAAAGUCGAUCAUCUAUUCGACCCGUCUUGAAACACGGACCAAGGAGUUUAACGUAUACACGAGUCAUUGGGUGUUCAAACCUAAAGGCGUAAUGAAAGUGAAUCUAUUCUUGGUAAUAGUUAUACGCGACCUGAUGCACUUCGGUGUAGCCAGAGCAGCGUAGCCCCGUCCGUGCCGCUUGCGGUAGGGCGGAGGUAGAGCGUAUGCGUUGAGACCCGAAAGAGUGGUGAACUAUAUCUUGAGCAGGACGAAGUCAGAGG
rnacentral:rRNA from 1 species